ensembl:snRNA U6 U6 spliceosomal RNA
GUGCUCGCUUCAGCAGCACAUGUACAAGAAUUGGAACGAUGCAGAGAUUAGCAUGGCCCCUGCUCAAGGAUGACACUCAAAAAUUAACUUUUGCAAUGUAA